rnacentral:rRNA from 1 species
UUCGCAAUGCCCGAAAGGGUGACGAAGCGACGCCGCGUGCGGGAAGAAGGCCUUCGGGCUGUAAACCGCUGUCAGGAGUUAAGAAAUGUAAGGAUGUUAAUAGCAUCUUUGCUUGACUAAGGCUCCGGAGGAAGCCACGGCUAACUCUGUGCCAGCAGCCGCGGUAAUACAGAGGCGGCAAGCGUUGUUCGGAAUUAUUGGGCGUAAAGAGCACGUAGGCGGCUAUGUAAGUCGGUUGUGAAAGCCUUCCGCUCAGCGGGGGAACAGCAUCCGAUACUGCAUGGCUUGAGUGCGGGAGGGGAGAGUGGAACUUCUGGUGGAGCGGUGAAAUGCGUAGAUAUCAGAAGGAACGCCGGCGGCGAAAGCGGCUCUCUGGCCCAUAACUAACGCUGAGUGUGCGAAAGCUAGGGGAGCAAACGGGAUUAGACACCCCGGUAGUCCUAGCCGUAAACGAUGGGCACUAAGUAGAGGGGUUUU